CUCAGAGCUGAUCGACUUCAGCUUCAGCAUGGAGCCUUCAGUCGCAAAACUUGUGUGCGUGAGGACGAGCAGUAAGGGAUAUCCUCCACCUUUCUAGCCUCUGGCCUGAGCUGUACAGUUAUGAUGCAGUCCAGAGGAAUGACUCCCUGCAGAGUGUGCCGCUCGAUGGGAAACUUCAGAUUCAAAGUGAGCUUCAUUGUUCCAGCCGUGAGAUGAGAAAUCUCUUCUUCACG